rnacentral:lncRNA from 1 species
CUCACAAUGAAUUCUUGGAAAAGGAGAUGAAUGUUCCCAUCAUAGCAAGUCAUUAGCCGCAUUUUUCUGACUUGCUUGGGAUGCCUCCUGUGCCUUGGCUGUCUCCCCAGCAAGCCUUCCACCCCCUGUGCUGUUCCAGCACAUUGCGAGAGCUGUGCGCAUCCAUAAAUGCCCAGAGUUGGCUCACUAUGCCCCGAACUGGCUCGCUAUGCCCAAUUUAAAACAAAUUGCUGUGCAAAAAGCAAGUCAGCUGGGCUCUGACCAGAAUUCAGGACAGGCUUUGACGAGAUCACAAAGUAAGCAGCAGAAAUGCACUGAUGUUUCCUUCAUGUUCUUGACUCCUUUUUCCCUUGUAUGUUUUUUUUUCAAUUGUGUUUAACAGUGUAUCUGCUUCGUGCUACAGCUUCUCCUUGCCUCUGAGGAAAGCUCCAGGGGUUUCAUCUAGACAAAAGCGAGAGAUUUGUACUGUGAAGGCCUAGGGAGAGAUUCAGAGGACUGAAGUUGUCACUAAGCACCUGCAGAGCUAGCAUGCCCAUUGGAUGCUGGGUGGAUGCAGUGAGAUGCUUGGCUGGUUCCUGACUUUCAGGAUAAAUACACAAUGGGAUGAAACCGACCUUCUUCCAGAAUACUCUUCCCAGACUGCUCACAUAUGUCAGUGAAACAAAGUGGUGCAUUUACCGAGGUAAAAAGAUGAUGCGCCAGAGGGCUGUAGGACAUGUUGCCUCCUCCCAUUGGGCUGCAGGUACCUGCUGCAAGACAUGCUCAUCACUUUACCGUCCCUUUCCUUAAAUAAUAAAUGUAAUUAGUGUUGCUUUUUCCUGGCCUAC